UAUCUGGAUACCCUCCCGGAAGGGAUUGGAUCGUUUUCAUACAUGAAGGAGAUAAAGAUGGUGACAACCAGAAGCAUUGCAGCAAAGAUGAGGAAAUUAAAGUGUAUCUCCAAAAUAGGGAUCGUGAAUAUCGAUCCAUGAGCUCGCGCGGGUGCCUGCAUUGUUUUUACGUAUGUUUUGCUUGUUGGCCUUAAUUUGUGAUGUAGUUCUUGGAGAAGCUUGAUAGACACCAACAUUAAUUAUGUUUAUGAGCUUUCAUUUCAAAUAUAUUUUUCUUCUGUUAAUUUUUAUUUCUUUGUGAUUCCUUCAACUUGCAUACUAUGUAAACACUUUGCUGGGGAUUGCUACGGAUGGUGAAGUUUGAGAGAUUUAAAAUUGG
rnacentral:lncRNA from 1 species